UCAGCCUCUGUCUCCAAAAAAAUUCUCAUCACAAGUAAUUGCAUACUCCCAAACAGGGCCAAAUCAGCUACUUAAAGAACGGAAAUAAUAAUGAACGUCUUCAGUAUGUGGGUCAAGCAUACUAUGGUUGAAUUUUUAUAAAACAGUAUGGCUUGUGUGAGUGAAAUACACUAUAAAAAUAAAUGUGUUGGCUCAACAACAACAACAAAAAAUAACGCAACAGUUUGCAUCAAUGUUUUUGAGUUAUGCCAACUUUGAGUGAAUUUACAUUCAACCAACAAGCUACAUUGAGUUAGAGGAACUUAAUAGUUUGUAGCACUCAAAAAGUUGUAGCCCUGGAACCAAUUAAUCUGAUCUAUUUUAGUUCAAAACAACAGCUAGCACAUGCUAACAUAACUUAUUUAACAUGUAUAUUUAAUGAACAAGUAAGAUAUUGUCACUGGGAUUUGCGCAGUCAUUGCUUAUAGAGUCAAUAGUGUUUACCUUCAGCACAAUGGUAACCACAAAAACUUCAACAUUAAAGAAACUCAAUGUCAAACAUAACAGCAUUAAAAACUAACAGGUCUUUCCCUUCACCAAAUAAUAAUAAUAAUAAUAAUAAUAAUAAUAAUAAUUAACACUUAAUUUCAACAGUUAUUUUCCUUAUGCAGUCCUAUGCAAAGCAUGCUGGGAACUAGAAAUCCAAUGCCCAAUUUCUGAAGUUAUUAAGACAAUUUCAUUAAGUUACUACAACUUAAUUAAAAAAAAAGCAGAAAUUUGAGUUUAAAUAACAGACGAUAUUAAAUUGUAAUGAUCAACAUUAUUAUGUCAACAGAACUCUACAAAAUAAUGUUUGCAACUUAAAAGGUUUAAUUAAAACAAUACAUUUGAAUUUUUAACUUGCAACCAUUCAUUUAUUUUAGUUGUGGUAAUAGGUCUUUACUUCCAGCUUUCUUACUUUGCAUUUUCAAUUGCAUAUUCAUAUAAACCACAUCAGAACUUAUAAAUGAUCCUUUCUCUUCAUGAAACAUGCAAUAGGCUGAAUGUCACAUAUAAUUAGUCUUAUUUUUUCCCCUCUAGUUUGCUCACUGACAUUCUCUCUAACAGUUGAGUUCAAAAUUGAAUUUCAGAACUGAAAGUGUUUGGGGCAAAUGAAACAUAUACAAGAGUGUUUUCUCUUUGAGGUCUUUAACAGCUAUGGAGUAUAGAGGUGAUGAGAAGGGCAGCUAAGCCUCUUUUAAGCUUCUCAAACCUCUUAGAGGUCUGAAGCUUCUGAGGCUUGAGCAGCUAUAAUAGGAAAAAGUCCUCCAAUGACGUAAAAUGGCUGCUUGUUUAAUUGUUGAAUUUCAUUCAUUUGUACUUUAUGUUCAUUUCAAAUUUUGAAACAUCUGAUGACCUAGAAAUGGUCAAACAAUAAAAAUUAAAUUCAUAGUUUUCACUGACAUAUAAAAUAAAAAAGAUAGAUCAUUGCAAACUAUUGAUUUAAUUUUUAUAUUACUUUGUGCCCCUUAGGGACUUUAAAAAAGUUUUCUUCUAAAGCAUGACAACUUCGCUACCAGAACUUUCCAUUAAUCAGGCCAAAUUGGCUCUAAGGUAUACACGUUUUUGGGAGUGUAGAGCCAUAUCUCUGAAGCAGUGCUGCACAGUUUCUGGCAUAUGAGCUGUCUUGUCAAAUCAGCCUGUCUCAGCUUAGCUUCUUUAAAGUCACACUAUUUCAAAUGGAGCCAUAUAAAAAAAGGAAAGAGUAGUCUGAUUUGCAGGAAGCCUCGGGCGAUGGUUUUGAGGAGAGCAUGAUAAGCAGGGGGUGGGCGCACAUACUGAUCCAUUUCUAAAAGAUGACUCUGUGAGCGGUUCUGGUAGAGCUGUUAUUUCAUGUUUUUUCCCCCUUUUUUUUUUUUUUUUUGGAUACAGGCACCCUGUUCUCUUUGAAGUCACUGUCACUCAUGGGAAGGCGGUGAAGGUGAUGCACUAGGGCAACAUGGCUUCUUGCAUAAUUCUUCAUUCUUCCUUACCAGAGGGGCUGUGCAGGCUGACUGGAGCAUAUGUCACAGCGGAAAGCAGCAACAUCUGAGGCCUCGCACCUCACCGCCAUCUCCUCUCCCUCUGAUUGACAGGGCUUGCUGGCAAUCUGCGUCUCUGUUUCGCCACAAGGUUAUAAAGGCCUCCAUAUGAUCAGUUACAGUAUUAUGUCACCAAACAACUUCAAAAUCGCCCCAUGUUGGGCGGAAAGCCACGGCCGUCUUUGUAGCCCUGCAGAAGGGCCCUUUGAUAGGAACAAGGGCAGGAAUUGUGGCAUGUAUCAUGUGAGCUGAGGUAGAGCACUGGAAACAGAUACGGAGAGAUCAAUAGUCCUCUCUGCUGUGCCAGCCCUCAGGAUAUUGACCCAGUCUCCAUGGAGGACCUUCCAUUUUAAAGAGUUCACUGAAGAUAAGAGCUACUAAGAGGAGGAGCCCUUUAGUACUUUCGCUAGCUUGGUUAUGACCAUGAUUUCCUCAAGACCUCCAAGCUGAGUGACCUCCUCUGUUGGUACAAUCUAGAUCUGACCCAAGACCAUGAGAGUUCAGCUUUUGUCUACUGCCCAAUGACCAGAAACAACCUUCCCGAACGCUGGAAAUGUCAGACUAUACAGGUCCUCUCUUAUUGUGAAUGAUGGCAUGGCAUCAUCUUAAAUCAGUGCUAUUAGUUCCAGAAGAAAACAAAUUGUUGUCAAAAUGUUGUUAUUCACUCUCUUUCUUCUGUGGUUUAAUGAUAAGUGAUUAAAAGCUUGCUUUCUGCUCUUCUAACAUAAUGAAAAAAAGAUUAAAAAUGCUUUUUAAGAAAAGUCAUGAUAAAAUAUUGUUUUGUUUUUUUUGUUUGUUUGUUUUAAAAAUGGCUGUUGUUCUAUGAAAGUGUAAUG